rnacentral:misc_RNA from 1 species
UUGGCUUUACGUAGAGCAUUCAUAAGUUCCAAAAAUGGCAACGGCUUCUUUCCCGACGCCUCCACCAUUUCUUCCCACGCCAGGUGCCCCUGUGCAGCCUUGGUUAAAUUGGAAAACGUCGUUUUUAAAUUAUAUUGUGGUCCUAGAGGCUGAUGAAAGCUCGCCGAAGCGUAAGCGCGCGUUGUUGUGGUCUUUGCUUGGUCUCGAAGGCCAAAGAAUAGUUUCAACGUUCCCAUCCACGGCCCUCGCCCAUAGCGAGACCGUCUCCGAAUUUGACGUUCUUAUGACGGCGCUUGAUCAGCACUUCGCUGCCAAAAAGAAUGCUGUUGUCGAACGGAGGUUGUUCCUCACCCGCGUCCAGUCGCAGGGAGAAAGUGUCCUUGAGUACCUUGGUGCCCUACGGCACCUCGGCUCUUUUUGUGAUUUUGGGGAGUCUCUUGAAAACCGCAUCGCGGAAGUUUUUUUGGCCGGGUUAUUAUCAUCGGAGGUACACAAUCGGGUAAUCCGAGAGUCUGCGGAAGCUGGACUACCCAGCCUCGAACGCAUCGUGCUUCUGGCACAACAGUUCGAACCAGCUGCUCGAGAUUGCGAUCGUUACCGCCAAAUUGCAUCAUGUCUUCCGCGUUCCGAGUCGACACAGGCCGUUGAGGCAGUACAAAGGGUUCCCGUUCGGCGUGGACAAGAUGGCCGCCAAUUGAAGUCAAAUUCGAACAUGCAACGUCAAAAUGGAGGGCGGCCUCCUGCCGUUUCCUCCUCCCCCGCAAAUGUUUCCUCCUCACCUUCCAAGGUUUCCUUCUCGCCGCGCCACCAGUCGCGUGGACUCACCCGCGUUUUUACAAGUCGACUGCCUCGUGAUGCUCCUCCGGGCGCGCGCGCUUUUGGGCGCGGGGCGGAAUCGUGCCAGUUUUGCGGUCUCCGACCCCAUCCGCGAGAGGAGUGUCCAGCGUCCGGAAUUACUUGUUUUUCUUGUGGCAAGAUAGGCCACUUUUCAAAUGUUUGCCGAAGUUCGUCUUCGUCGUCUGAAGUCAUCGACCCCCGUCGCCUGGCGUUUCCGCCGGGACGAGGCCGCGCCGCCGGUCGCCGGUACGAGAGGCUUGGACCUGGCCGUAACCAGACGCCGAUCCAUGGAAUCGUGACGUCUCCCGACGACGAGGGGGAACAACAGCCAAACAACGUCUUCACCGUCGGAUCCCCGGAGGUCCUCCCUGAAGAACGUGUCGACCGUCGCCCACUGAAUUUCACAGCUGAUGUUCAGCUGACCCUCGCUCCACCAUCCCGGGACAUGUAAAGUCGGCUGGAGUCCCGCAGCCCCCAUGUACGGUGGAGCCCAGUCGUCCAUCGCGUCCUCCAAGUGCUCCCUGCAAGCACCCUUCAUCAUUGUCCACUGUUCACGGCACUCAGCCAUCCACGUCGUCUGAGUACUACUCAAGUAGAGGCGUCUUCGGAGACCAGCCUUCAAGGGAUCCGUCGACGUCGGGACCAUCUUUGCAACCUUCAUCGCCCCUGAUGCCGGUCUUGUCCCGACGGCCCAAGAGGUCGUCCCUGCCACUGCGGCCCCUGUGGCCGCCCAUGCUACUGCGGCACCCGGCCCUGGCCAUAUUGCUGUGGCGCCUGGUGCCCA